rnacentral:rRNA from 1 species
GGUAAGGAAUAACGUCGAAGAAUCGGCGCUAACUACCUCAUAAUGCAGGCGGAUCCGCAUGGAUAUGUUGUUAAAGGUUUACCGCCUUGGGAUAGGCUUGCGUCUGAUUAGCUAGUUGGUGUGGUAACGGCACACCAAGGCUACGAUCAGUAACUGGUCUGAGAGGAUGAUCAGUCACACUGGAACUGAGACACGGUCCAGACUCCUACGGGAGGCAGCAGUGAGGAAUAUUGGGCAAUGCUCGAAAGAGUGACCCAGCAACGCCGCGUGGAGGAUGAAGGUAUUCUAUAUCGUAAACUCCUGUGAGAGCAGACGAAAGACAGAUUAUUAAUCUGGAUGACUGUAUGCUCAGAGGAAGCCCCGGCUAACUACGUG